AUGGGCCAACUAUCAAGAUCAAUCUUCUUCCACCUGCUCCUCUCUCUCUGCCAUUUCCUCAAACACAUCAUGUGGACUCCGCGCUCUUCUCCAUGGCGACGCCCCGGCGAAGCACCACUCCGGUGGUGGUCGGGACUGGAAACGGCGGCGCAACCACGCCGGCUGGAGCCGCCUCGGCCAUGUUGGCGUGCUGCGGCCUUGCGUGCGUGCGUGCAGCCACCCCCGGCUUGCUGGCCGGCUGGCUUGCGUGCGUGCAGCCACGCCCCGCUUGCUGGCCGGCUGGCUUGCGUGGUGCGCAGCCGCAGCCGCCGCCGUCGCCGCGUGCUAGCGUGCCGCAGCCUUGCGUGCGGGCGUGCGCAGCCGCCGCCGCCGUGUGCUGGCAGGCUGGCUGCCGUCGCCGCGAGCGUGCUGGCCGGCUGGCUUGCGUGCGUGCGCAGCCACCGCCGCCGCCGCGUGCUGGCGUGCCGCGGCUUUGCUGGGGCUAGCUUGCGUGCGUGCUGGCGUGCCGCGUGCCUUGCCGAUCGUGGCUGUGGCCGGCCCCCAGCCGUGGCAGCGGGCAAGCCGUGGCUGUGGCCAGCCAUGGCCGCCCGUGGGCUGGCUCCAUGUGCUCGUCGUGCUGGGCCUCGCCAACAACUACCUCGCCGGCGAGCUCCCUGCCGUGGGGCACGAAGACCAGGUGUUUGUUGA
rnacentral:rRNA from 1 species